rnacentral:rRNA from 1 species
UCGAGAAUCUUCGGCAAUGGGCGAAAGCCUGACCGAGCAAUGCCGCGUGCGGGAUGAAGGCCCUCGGGUUGUAAACCGCUGUCAGUUGGGAGGAAGGCCCCGUGCAGAGCGGGGCUUGACCUAUCUUCAGAGGAAGUACGGGCUAAGUUCGUGCCAGCAGCCGCGGUAACACGAACCGUACGAACGUUAUUCGGAAUCAUUGGGCUUAAAGGGUGCGUAGGCGGCGCAGUAAGUCGGGUGUGAAAGCCCACGGCUCAACCGUGGAAUUGCGCCCGAUACUGCUGUGCUUGAGGGAGACAGGGGUAAGCGGAACUGAUGGUGGAGCGGUGAAAUGCGUUGAUAUCAUCAGGAACACCAGUGGCGAAAGCGGCUUACUGGGUCUCUUCUGACGCUGAGGCACGAAAGCUAGGGUAGCGAACGGGAUUAGAUACCCCCGUAGUCC